rnacentral:rRNA from 1 species
UGUUCCUACGGGACGCAGCAGUGGGGAAUAUUGCACAAUGGGGGGAACCCUGAUGCAGCGACGCCGCGUGAGUGAAGAAGUAUUUCGGUAUGUAAAGCUCUAUCAGCAGGGAAGAUAAUGACGGUGCCUGACUAAGAAGCCCCGGCUAACUACGUGCCAGCAGCCGCGGUAAUACGUAGGGGGCAAGCGUUAUCCGGAUUUACUGGGUGUAAAGGGGGCGUAGGUGGCAGGGCAAGUCAGAUGUAAAAGCCCGGGGCCCAACCCCGGAACUGCAUUUGAAACUGUCCGGCGGGAGGGCAGGAGAG